rnacentral:rRNA from 1 species
GAUGAACGCUGGCGGCGUGCCUAAUACAUGCAAGUCGAGCGAACAGACGAGGAGUUUGCUGCUCUGACGUUAGCGGCGGACGGGCGAGUAACACGUGGAUAACCUACCUAUAAGACUGGUAUAACUUCGGGAAUCCGGAGCCAUAACCGGAUAAUAUAUUGAACCGCAUGGUUCAAUAGUGAAAGACGGUUUUGCUGUCACUGAUAGAUGGAUCCGCGCCGCAUUAGCUAGUUGGUAAGGUAGGGGCUUACCAAGGAAACGAUGCGUAGCCGACCUGAGAGCGUGGUCGGCCACACUGGAACUGAGACACGGUGCAGACUCCUACAGGAGGCCGCAGUAGGGAAUCUUCCGCAAUGGACGAAAGCCUGACGGAGCACCGCGGCGUGAGUCAUGAAGGUCUUCGGAUCGUAGAGCUCUGUUAUUAGGCAAGAAGAAAUGUGUAAGUAACUAUGCCCGUCUUGACGGUACCUAAUCAGGAAGCCACGGCUAACUACGUG